rnacentral:rRNA from 1 species
ACACAUGCAAGUCGAGCGGUAACAGGUGUAGCAAUACAUGCUGACGAGCGGCGAACGGGUGAGUAAUGCUUCGGAAUCUACCCUCUAGUGGGGAAUAACCAGCCGAAAGGUUGGCUAAUACCGCAUACGUCCUACGGGAGAAAGCAGGGGAUCGUAAGACCUUGCGCUGAUGGAUGAGCCGAAGUCAGAUUAGCUAGUUGGUGAGGUAACGGCUCACCAAGGCGACGAUCCGUAGCUGGUCUGAGAGGACGACCAGCCACACUGGAACUGAGACACGGUCCAGACUCCUACGGGAGGCAGCAGUGGGGAAUAUUGGACAAUGGGGGAAACCCUGAUCCAGCGACGCCGCGUGUGUGAAGAAGGCCUGCGGGUUGUAAAGCACUUUUAGUGGGGAUGAAAUGUGCAGGGCUAAUACCUCUGCAUUUUGACCUAACCCACAGAAAAAGCACCGG